GGAGCUUGCUUUAUAUAACUUAGCAGCGAACGGGUGAGUAACACGUAGAUAAUCUAUCCUAUACUGGGGGAUAGCCCGAUGAAAGUUGGAUUAAUACCGCAUAUAGCUAUAUAGUUGCAUGAUUAUGUAGUGAAAGAUUUAUUGGUAUAGGAGGAGUCUGCGGCACAUUAGCUAGUAGGUGAGGUAAAGGCUUACCUAGGCGACGAUGUGUAGCCGGUCUGAGAGGAUGAACGGCCACAAUGGAACUGAGACACGGUCCAUACUCCUACGGGAGGCAGCAGUGGGGAAUAUUGCACAAUGGGGGAAACCCUGAUGCAGCAACGCCGCGUGAGUGAAGAAGGUUUUCGGAUUGUAAAGCUCUGUUAGCAGGGAAGAGGAAGGACGGUACCUGCAGAGGAAGCCACGGCUAACUACGUGCCAGCAGCCGCGGUAAUACGUAGGUGGCAAGCGUUGUUCGGAAUAACUGGGCGUAAAGGAUGCGUAGGCGGUUAAACAAGUUAUAUGUUAAAUAUAUAGGCUUAACCUGUAGAAAGCAUAUAAAACUGUUUAACUAGAGUGCAGGAGAGGUAAGUGGAAUUCCUAGUGUAGCGGUGAAAUGCGUAGAGAUUAGGAAGAACACCAGUGGCGAAGGCGACUUACUGGACUGUAACUGACGCUGAGGCAUGAGAGCAUGGGGAGCAAACAGGAUUAGAUACCCUGGUAGUCCAU
rnacentral:rRNA from 1 species